GGAAUAUUAGUAAUGGGCGAAAGCCUAAACUAGCAACGCCGCGUGUGCGAAGAAGGCCUUCGGGUUGUAAAGCACUUUUUGAGAGGAUGAGGAAGGACGGUACUCUCAGAAUAAGUCUCAGCUAACUACGUGCCAGCAGCCGCGGUAACACGUAGGAGGCGAACGUUAUCCGGAUUUACUGGGCGUAAAGCGCGUGUAGGUGGUUUGGUAAGUAGGGCGUGAAAGCUCCUGGCUCAACUGGGAGAGGCCGUUCUAAACUGCCGAACUAGAGGAUGGUAGAGGGAGGUGGAAUUCCGGGUGUAGCGGUGGAAUGCGCAGAUAUCCGGAGGAACACCAGUGGCGAAAGCGGCCUCCUGGACCAUUCCUGACACUCAGACGCGAAAGCUAGGGUAGCAAACGG
rnacentral:rRNA from 1 species